rnacentral:lncRNA from 1 species
AUUAUUGGUCCAUUGGUGGCCUUUGACAAAACUGUUUCUUUGGAACAGUGAGGGUGAAAAUCUCACUGGACUGGCUUCAAGAGAUAAUGAGAGGAGAUGAUUGGAAACAACGACUACAGUCAACUCUUUGCACAGGUGGAGGGAAUGAAAGGAAAGCUGCCGCAUCAUGUCAAGAAGCUGAUCAAUCAAGAAGCAAGGAGAUCCUGGCACCUUGACUAACUACAGACCCAUGCUGCCGACUCUGCCUGGAUCCCCAGAGCCACCACUGCUACUUCAGAAAGCUGGAGAAUCAAGAAGCUGCUGACUCUAGAACCAUGAUACUCUUGUCACUGUCUGUAAAACCAGAACAAUGCUU